UGGGGAAUAUUGGACAAUGGGCGAAAGCCUGAUCCAGCCAUGCCGCGUGUGUGAAGAAGGUCUUCGGAUUGUAAAGCACUUUAAGUUGGGAGGAAGGGCAGUAAGCGAAUACCUUGCUGUUUUGACGUUACCGACAGAAUAAGCACCGGCUAACUCUGUGCCAGCAGCCGCGGUAAUACAGAGGGUGCAAGCGUUAAUCGGAAUUACUGGGCGUAAAGCGCGCGUAGGUGGUUCGUUAAGUUGAAUGUGAAAGCCCCGGGCUCAACCUGGGAACUGCAUCCAAAACUGGCGAGCUAGAGUAGGGCAGAGGGUGGUGGAAUUUCCUGUGUAGCGGUGAAUGCGUAGAUAUAGGAAGGAACACCAGUGGCGAAGGCGACCACCUGGGCUCAUACUGACACUGAGGUGCGAAAGCGUGGGGAGCAAACAGG
rnacentral:rRNA from 1 species